rnacentral:lncRNA from 1 species
GGAGAUCAACUUCCCCAAUCACGGUCUUGCGCGACCCAUCGAAAGCUUUCACAACAACACCACUCUGCCUCAUAGGAGGCCCUUGAUAUGACAAUCUCGAAAGAGUGGUCUUCGGCAAUACAUUCAAAGAUGACCCAGUGUCCACCAGCACGUUGGACAUGGCGUCAUUCUUGCAAUUCAUGGAAAUAUGUAAAGCCAUGUUGUGG